rnacentral:lncRNA from 1 species
UUCUGCUACGAAUGGUUCCAGUUGAUUUACCUCCCCAUUUUCGAGUUUUCUUCUAUCCACUCUUUUUUUUUCUCAAUUUUCCUAUGGUUGAAUGGAAGCCUGGAAGGGAAGGAGUGGGAAUUGAAAUUUUUUAAUUUAAUCAUUAAAUUACAAAUAAUUGACUUCCAAUGAAUUUUUAAUAUGAGGUUAAGUCCACUUUGGUCUAAUAUAUAAUAUUAAAAAAAAAUUUCUUGUUUUCUCUUUUGAACUUCAUUUUUAAAGUUCCAAAAGAAGCUUCGUUUUGAAGAAGGUUAUAUGUUAGACUAAGCUGGGUUUUAUUUAUUUAUUUAUUACUGAGUUUUCGUACUUUUUU